UUAAUGGACCCUCUCCUCAUGUUUUCUUUUAUCAACUAUCUCCAUCUGCUACAGAACAUUCAAUGUGUUCCCGAGUCCAUCAUCUUGUCACUAUACAUAGAAACAUCAUUUAUUAUUACCUUGGAUUUAUUUAUUUUUAUAGAAAACCUCUGAAACUUAAAAAAACAAAAAACAAAAAAACCUAUCAGCAAAACAUGAUUCAUUGUUUACUAUGUAGUUAUUUUUAAAAAGUGAGAAUAAAGUGCUGCAAAAAAUAUACAAACUAACACAACAUUGUAAAGAAACUAUACUUCAAAAUAAUAUAAAAUUUAAAUAAAGUAAUUUCAAAUAAAAUGAAAAAUUUUAAAAUGUAAACAUACAGUAUACCUAAAAUGAAUACAAUGUUAUACAUCCAUUUAUUUCUCAAUUUUUAAAAAUGACAAACAUGAAAUAAUUUAUGAUUUGAGAUUUUCUAGGAAUUCUGAUUUCUUAUUUCUGAAUCCUGAGGACAAUCAGAAAUUUGAAACACUAGGACCACAGAGUCCCAUCCCAGUCCUGCAGAAGGUCUGGGAGAUGAGGCUGGGAGGGGCUGGCAGUGGGAGGGAGGAGAUGUCUCAGAGGAGGACAAUUUAAGGGCUGGGGAGGGGGCUUCCCUGGUGGGCCAGUGGUUAAGAGUCUGUCCUGCCAGAGCCACUGGUUCCCCCCUGGCUGUGGACUAAGAUCCCACAUGCCUGGGAGAGCAGCCGAAAGAUUUUUUUAAAGGGGGUGGGGUGGGGAGGAGGAAGAUCAGAACAUUUCCUGCCACAUGCUCCUGUCUCAGGUCUCCCGCCCUACACUCCUCCUCCCCUCCUCAGGGGCUGUGGGGGUGCAGGUAGAGGUCUAAGCGUUCUCAUGGAGAAGUUCCCAGCAUCUUACAGCCCUAGGUGAGGCAGACCAGCUGAUAACAUGCUGUUUCUCCUACAUGUCAAUGGCAAUCCCACUCUCUCAUGUGGAAAAUUAUCGAAGGACCAGGGCCCUCAGCCAGGGGUCAUCUUCCAGACCAGAAAUGGGCGAUCGAUCUGUGCCGACCCAGGCCAGGCCUGGGUGCAGAAGUACAUCAAAUACCUGGACCAAAAGUCCAAGGGAGCUGGGUACAGUGGGACCUUCACAGUCGAGGGAAAAUGAGAAGAAGCCACAGAGCCACCUCCCCUCCCCAACCAGCUCCCUCACCCCAGAUGCGCCCUGGGCGAGUCCUGGCCCGAAUGAAAGCCCGCACUUGCGUUUCUGGGCUCCUGCUCUGAUGGUCUGCGCUCUCCUGAAGCUUCGCCGCGAAGCCCCGCCUUCUGGGGCCAGAGGAGACUGCGGCCUCCGGACCGCAUCUGUCGUCCCCUUGCAGGCGCCCAGGUCUUGAAAUAAAUCCGUGCUGCAGAAGGGGACUGGUGGCUUGAA